GAUGAACGCUGGCGGCGUGCCUAAUACAUGCAAGUCGAGCGAACAGAUAAGGAGCUUGCUCCUUUGACGUUAGCGGCGGACGGGUGAGUAACACGUGGGUAACCUACCUAUAAGACUGGAAUAACUCCGGGAAACCGGGGCUAAUGCCGGAUAACAUUUAGAACCGCAUGGUUCUAAAGUGAAAGAUGGUUUUGCUAUCACUUAUAGAUGGACCCGCGCCGUAUUAGCUAGUUGGUAAGGUAACGGCUUACCAAGGCAACGAUACGUAGCCGACCUGAGAGGGUGAUCGGCCACACUGGAACUGAGACACGGUCCAGACUCCUACGGGAGACAGCAGUAGGGAAUCUUCCGCAAUGGGCGAAAGCCUGACGGAGCAACGCCGCGUGAGUGAUGAAGGUCUUCGGAUCGUAAAACUCUGUUAUUAGGGAAGAACAAAUGUGUAAGUAACUGUGCACGUCUUGACGGUACCUAAUCAGAAAGCCACGGCUAACUACGUG
rnacentral:rRNA from 1 species